GAUGAACGCUGGCGGCGUGCCUAAUACAUGCAAGUCGAGCGAACAGACGAGGAGCUUGCUCCUCUGACGUUAGCGGCGGACGGGUGAGUAACACGUGGAUAACCUACCUAUAAGACUGGGAUAACUUCGGGAAACCGGAGCUAAUACCGGAUAAUAUAUUGAACCGCAUGGUUCAAUAGUGAAAGACGGUUUUGCCGUCACUUAUAGAUGGAUCCGCGCCGCAUUAGCUAGUUGGUAAGGUAACGGCUUACCAAGGCAACGAUGCGUAGCCGACCUGAGAGGGGUGUGGGCCAACAGGGAAGCGAAGACCGGGCCCAGCCCCAAAGGGGGGGAAGAAUGGGGAAUUCUUCAGAAAGGGGGAAAGCCCUGAGGGGCCACCGCGGGGGGGGUAAGAAAGGUCUUGGGAUCUAAAACCUUUUUUAUAGGGGAAAAAAAAAGGUGAAGGUAACAAUCCACGUUUGAAGGGACCUAAAACAAAAACCCCCGCUUAACUACGU
rnacentral:rRNA from 1 species